AGAAGCAGCCAUGCAUUCAAAGAGUGCGUAACAGCUCACUGGUCGAGUGGACAUGCGCCGACAAUACACGGGGCUAAGCUGGACACCGAAGCGGCGGGAUUUUAAUUCAUUAGAAUCGGUAGGGGAGCUUCCCAUGGGCGGAGAAGCCGGAGGGCGACCGACGGUGGAGCGCAUGGGAGUGAGAAUGCUGGCAUGAGUAGCGAGAGACGAGAGAGUAACUCGUCCGCCGUGAACCCGAGGUUUCCUGGGCAAGGCUAAUCCUCCCAGGGUCAGUCGGGGGCUAAGGCGAGGCCGGUAGGCGUAGCCGACGCGCAGCAGGCAGACAUUCCUGCACCGCGCACGCGGCGCUACGACCGACGGGGCGACGGAUGGGGGUGGCUCGGCGGGGUUCUGGACGUCCCCGUGAUGGAGCGCGGCCCGCGGACCAGGGAAAUCCGGUCCGCACGAGGGCGAGGCUCCGGACGAAGCGAUUGAGCGAAGCGAGUGAGCCCGAGGUCCCUAGAAAAACCCCUAGGCAGGCGCGUGCGCGCCCGUACCGCAAACCGACACAGGUGGGUGGGUAGAACAUACCGAGGCGAUCGGGUCAACCAUGGUCAAGGAACUCGGCACAAUGGCCCCGUAACUUCGGGAGAAGGGGUGCCCGCGCGUACGUGAACGGACUUGCUCCGGGAGCGGAGGCGGGCCGCAGUGGAGAGGCCCAAGCGACUGUUUACCAAAAACACAGGACUCUGCAGAAGCCGCAAGGCGACGUAUAGGGUCUGACGCCUGCCCGGUGCCGGAAGGUCACGCGGAGGAGUUAGCCGAUUCGGCGAAGCCCCGAAGCCAAGCCCCGGUAAACGGCGGCCGUAACUAUAACGGUCCUAAGGUAGCGAAAUUCCUUGUCGGGUAAGUUCCGACCUGCACGAAAGGCGCAACGACUUGGGCGCUGUCUCGACCAUGGACCCGGUGAAAUUGCACUGGUCGUGAAGAUGCGACUUACCCGCGGAAGGACGGAAAGACCCCGUGAACCUUCACUGCAGCUUGGCAUUGGCCGCUGGUCCCGCGUGUAGAGGAUAGGCAGGAGGCACAGAUCCGGAGGCGCCAGCCCCCGGGGAGCCGCCCUUGGAAUACUGCCCUCGCGCGACCGGCGUCCUAACCCGAGGCCGUCAACCGGCUCGGGGACCGUGCCAGGCGGGCAGUUUGACUGGGGCGGUCGCCUCCUAAAGGGUAACGGAGGCGCGCGAAGGUCCGCUCGGGACGGUCGGCAACCGUCCUUUUGAAUGCAAGAGUACAAGCGGGCUUGACUGCGAGGCCCACAAGCCGAGCAGGUGCGAAAGCAGGCUCUAGUGAUCCGGCGGCCCCGAGUGGGUGGGCCGUCGCUCAACGGAUAAAAGGUACUCCGGGGAUAACAGGCUGAUCUUGCCCAAGAGUCCACAUCGACGGCAAGGUUUGGCACCUCGAUGUCGGCUCAUCGCAUCCUGGGGCUGGAGCAGGUCCCAAGGGUACGGCUGUUCGCCGUUUAAAGCGGUACGCGAGCUGGGUUCAGAACGUCGUGAGACAGUUCGGUCCCUAUCCUCCGCAGGCGCAAGGGAGUUGAGGAGGGCCGCCCCUAGUACGAGAGGACCGGGGCGGACGGGCCUCUGGUGGAGCGGUUGUCGACCAACGGCACCGCCGCCUAGCUACGCCCGGAACGGAUAACCGCUGAAAGCAUCUAAGCGGGAAGCCGGCUCCGAGAUGAGCUCCCUGUUCGGUAAGGGCCCGGGUAGAACACCCGGUCGACAGGCCGCAGCUGCAAGCGCCGCGAGGCGCUCAGGCGAGCGGUGCUGAUAGCCCGAGCUCUUCUUC
rnacentral:rRNA from 1 species